rnacentral:rRNA from 1 species
AACGUAGGAGGCAAGCGCUAUCCGGAUUUACUGGGCGUAAAGCGCGUGCAGGUGGUUUCGUAAGUUGGAUGUGAAAGCUCCUAGCUUAACUGGGAGAGGUCGUUCAAGACUGCGGGACUAGAGAGUGGUAGAGGAAGGUGGAAUUCCGGGUGUAGUGGUGAAAUGCGUAGAUAUCCGGAGGAACACCAGUGGCGAAAGCGGCCUUCUGGACCAUUUCUGACACUCAGACGCGAAAGCUAAGGUAGCAAACGGGAUUAGAGACCCCGGUAGUCUUAGCUGUAAACGAUGUGAACUUGGCGUCGGUGGGUUCAAAUCCAUCGGUGCCGAAGCAAACGCGAUAAGUUCACCGCCUGGGGACUACGGCCGCAAGGUUAAAACUCAAAGGAAUUGACGGGGCCCCGCACAAGCAGCGGAGCGUGUGGUUUAAUUCGAUGCUACACGAAGAACCUUACCAGGGUUUGACAUGCAAGUGGUAGGAAACCGAAAGGUGCCCGACUCCUCGGAGAGCUUGCACAGGUGCUGCAUGGCUGUCGUCAGCUCGUGUCGUGAGAUGUUCGGUUAAGUCCGCUAACGAGCGCAACCCUCGCUGUGUGUUACAAGUGUCACACGGAACUGCCGGUCUUAAGCCGGAGGAAGGUGGGGAUGACGUCAAGUCAGCAUGGCCUUUAUAUCCUGGGCUACACACACGCUACAAUGGCCAACACAAUAGGUAGCUAAGCCGCGAGGCGGAGCCAAUCCUCAAAGUUGGUCUCAGUUCAGAUUGUAGGCUGCAACUCGCCUGCAUGAAGAUGGAGUUGCUAGUAAACGCAGGUCAGCUAUACUGCGUUGAAUACGUUCCCGGGGCUUGUACACACCGCCCGUCACGUCAUGGAAGUUGGCAACACCUGAAGCCGGUAUCCUAACCGCAAGGAGGGAGCCGUCGAAGGUGGGGUCGAUAACUGGGACG